GCGAGCAUCUGCCAGGAUGUUUUCAUUAAUCAAGAACGAAAGUUAGGGGAUCGAAGACGAUCAGAUACCGUCGUAGUCUUAACCAUAAACGAUGCCGACCAGCGAUUAGGAGACGUUGAAUACAAAACACCACCAUCGGUGCGGUCGUCCUUGGCGUCUCGGUCCUUCACGGGGCCGGGGCGCGGGGGCGGCUUAGCCCGGUGGCACCGGUGAAUGACUCCCCU
rnacentral:rRNA from 1 species